rnacentral:rRNA from 1 species
CAGCAGCCACGGUAAUACAGAGGGUGCAAGCGUUAAUCGGAAUUACUGGGCGUAAAGCGCGCGUAGGUGGUUUGUUAAGUUGGAUGUGAAAGCCCCGGGCUCAACCUGGGAACUGCAUCCAAAACUGGCAAGCUAGAGUACGGUAGAGGGUGGUGGAAUUUCCUGUGUAGCGGUGAAAUGCGUAGAUAUAGGAAGGAACACCAGUGGCGAAGGCGACCACCUGGACUGAUACUGACACUGAGGCGCGAAAGCGUGGGGAGCAAACAGGAUUAGAUACCCCGGUAGUCCCUGUCUCUUAUAC